GAUGAACGCUAGCGGGAGGCCUAACACAUGCAAGCCGAGCGGUAUGGAUAGCUUGCUAUCCAGAGAGCGGCGUACGGGUGCGUAACACGUGUGCAACCUACCUUUAUCUGGGGGAUAGCCUUUCGAAAGGAAGAUUAAUACCCCAUAAUAUAAUGAUUGGCAUCAAUUAUUAUUGAAAACUCCGGUGGAUAGAGAUGGGCACGCGCAAGAUUAGAUAGUUGGUGAGGUAACGGCUCACCAAGUCAAUGAUCUUUAGGGGUCCUGAGAGGGAGAUCCCCCACACUGGUACUGAGACACGGACCAGACUCCUACGGGAGGCAGCAGUGAGGAAUAUUGGACACUGGGGGGGAGCCUGAUCCAGCCAUCCCGCGUGAAGGAUGACGGUCCUAUGGAUUGUAAACUUCUUUUGUACAGGGAUAAACCUACCCUCGUGAGGGUAGCUGAAGGUACUGUACGAAUAAGCACCGGCUAACUCCGUG
rnacentral:rRNA from 1 species